UACGAGGGGGGCAAAUGUUGUUCGGAAUCACUGGGCGUAAAGGGAGCGUAGGCGGGUUUCUAAGUCAGGUGUUUAAUCCCGGGGCCCAACCCCGGACAGGCACUUGAAACUGGAAAUCUUGAAUAGUGGAGAGGUCAGUGGAAUUGGGGGUGUAGCGGUGGAAUGCGUAGAUAUCCGGAGGAACACCAGUGGCGAAAGCGGCCACCUGGACUGCACCUGACGCUGACACGCGAAAGCUAGGGGAGCGAACGGG
rnacentral:rRNA from 1 species